GGAGGGUGCGAGCGUUAAUCGGAAUUACUGGGCGUAAAGCGCGCGUAGGCGGCCUGAUCAGUCGGAUGUGAAAGCCCUGGGCUUAACCUGGGAAUUGCACUCGAUACUGUCAGGCUAGAGUAUGGGAGAGGGAAGUGGAAUUUCCGGUGUAGCGGUGAAAUGCGUAGAUAUCGGAAGGAACACCAGUGGCGAAGGCGACUUCCUGGCCCAAUACUGACGCUGAGGUGCGAAAGCGUGGGUAGCGAACAGGAUUAGAUACCCUGGUAGUCCACGCCGUAAACGAUGAGAACUAGAUGUCGGGAGGAUUUACCUCUCGGUGUCGCAGCUAACGCGUUAAGUUCUCCGCCUGGGGAGUACGCCGGCAACGGUA
rnacentral:rRNA from 1 species